UGUAAGCGUAUACCAAAGUUGUUGCAGUUAAAACGCUCGUAGUCGGAAUUUGGCAGUUCCGGAAGUGUGCACGUCGUGUGCGCACUUUGCGGGGACUGCUUUUGUGGUCUUGCGUAGGAUGAGGCACUUUCAUUAGUGAACGUCCUCACGCAACCACUCUUUACUAUGAGAAAAUCAGAGUGCUCAAAGCAGGCAUUUGCCGUGAAUGUAUUAGCAUGGAAUAAUAGAAUAGGACUCGGUUCUAUUUUGUUGGUUUGUUGGGACUGAGUAAUGAUUAAGAGGGACAGUUGGGGGCAUUUGUAUUCCGGCGCUAGAGGUGAAAUUCUUAGAUUGCCGGAAGACAAACUGCUGCGAAAGCGUCUGCCAAGGAUGUUUUCAUUGA
rnacentral:rRNA from 1 species